rnacentral:rRNA from 1 species
GUAGGUGGCAAGCGUUGUCCGGAAUUAUUGGGCGUAAAGCGCACGCAGGCGGGUCCUUUAAGUGUGAUGUGAAAGCCCACGGGCUCAACCGUGGAGGGUCAUUGGAAACUGGGGGACUUGAGUACAGAAGAGGAAAGCGGAAUUCCAAGUGUAGCGGUGAAAUGCGUAGAGAUUUGGAGGAACACCAGUGGCGAAGGCGGCUUUCUGGUCUGUAACUGACGCUGAGGCGCGAAAGCGUGGGGAGCAAACAGGAUUAGAUACCCUGGUAGUCCACGCCGUAAACGAUGAGUGCUAAGUGUUAGGGGGUUUCCGCCCCUUAGUGCUGCAGCUAACGCAUUAAGCACUCCGCCUGGGGAGUACGGCCGCAAAGGCUG